UACGGAGGGGGCUAGCGUUGUUCGGAAUUACUGGGCGUAAAGCGCACGUAGGCGGCUUUGUAAGUUAGAGGUGAAAGCCCCGGGCUCAACCUGGGAAUUGCAUUUGAGACUGCGUAGCUAGGGUGCGGAAGAGGGAAGCGGAAUUUCCGGUGUAGCGGUGAAAUGCGUAGAUAUCGGAAGGAACACCAGUGGCGAAAGCGGCUUCCUGGUCCAGCACCGACGUUCAGGCACGAAAGCGUGGGGAGCAAACAGG
rnacentral:rRNA from 1 species